GGCUUCCUAUAGCCCAGAGGUCUGCAGGGUUGUCUCAGCUGUAGUUAAUUACAAGGACUUGCAGGUGAUGAAGGUUCGGCAGGAUUUCAGCAUGUCUUCACCCAAUUUGUGAGGUUCAUUUCCGAGAAGGGCAGGAUGUAUUUGCCAACACGCUGCCACCUUCGCACACGGUGAGAGUUCAUUGCGAGCCUCACAAAGCCGGUCUCGGUUGGCACGGCCUCUGCCAGCAGAUGUGGAGGGGGAAAAAAAUCCCCCAAACCUGUUGGUGCUGUGCUCCGAGAUGAAUGACGCUAGCACUGAAAUUACGGGCAAGCAGUCAGAGAGCAACCUUCAGGUCUGCAGAGCAGCUUUCGUUUUAAUUACGUUUACCUGUGCCUAGUUUCAAACCAUGGCUGAGGUCGCCUCACGUCUGUGCCUGGUGGAGCCGAGGUCCUCAUUCACAGAAAAGGGCCUGAAGUGUAAUAUUGCAGCAUCUCACCCCAUUAACCACUUCUGAAGCUCACAGUGUUUUCCAGAAGUUCCUGGGAUCUACUUAAACAACUUAAAGCCUUUCUUCCUAUGGAAUAAGACACAUUGAGGUUCGAUAACGCUAUUUAUAUUGGCAAAAUUUCUCUGUCACGCUAACAGAUGUAAAUUCAGGUUAUUACAGGUAACCCCUUCCCCCCCCCAUCUCAAUCAGGAAGCUGUCCAGCUGCAAAGCAAUCACUACAUCACAAGGUUUGGAAAUGUUCCCUCCAGAUACUGACUUAGGUUAGGUAGGGGAGGAAAUCUUGACUUUUUUCUGCUCCCAGUGAAAAUACACCUAGUCAUGACACUGGAAAGGUAAAGUGAGUACAGGCUAACUCAGUGCGGAGCAGAACGUGGAUGUGAAGUGCUGACUUCAGACUAAAAUGAUGACAAAUCAUUAAAAGAGUUUUAGCAGACAUUUCUUAUAGAGUGCUGAAAAGAAAAGGAAAAGAAAAGAAGAAAGGAAAGGAAAGGAAAAGAAAAGAGAAGAAAAG